AUCUGGCUCCUACGGAGUCCGAGUUGUAAUUUGUAGAAGAUGCUUUGGGUUGUGGGUUCGGCCUAAGUUCCUUGGAACAGGACGUCAUAGAGGGUGAGAAUCCCGUAUGUGGCCGAGGCCUGCGCCUAUGUAAAGCUCUUUCAACGAGUCGAGUUGUUUGGGAAUGCAGCUCAAAAUGGGUGGUAAAUUUCAUCUAAAGCUAAAUAUGGGCCAGAGACCGAUAGCGCACAAGUAGAGUGAUCGAAAGAUGAAAAGCACUUUGGAAAGAGAGUUAAACAGUACGUGAAAUUGUUGAAAGGGAAGCGCUUGCGACCAGACUUGGGCGCUGCCGAUCACCCCGAGUUUUCUCGGGUGCACUCGACAGCGCACAGGCCAGCAUCGGUUCGGGUGGCUGGAUAAAGGCCGUAGGAACGUGGCUCCCUUCGGGGAGUGUUAUAGCCUACGGUGCCAUGCAGCCCAGCCGGACCGAGGACCGCGCCUUCGGGCUAGGAUGCUGGCGUAAUGGUUGUAAGCGACCCGUCUUGAAACACGGACCAAGGAGUCUAACAUCUAUGCGAGUGUUUGGGUGGUAAACCCAUACGCGGAAUGAAAGUGAACGUAGGUGAGAACCCCUUUGGGGCGCAUCAUCGACCGAUCCUGAUGUCUUCGGAUGGAUUUGAGUAAGAGCAUAGCUG
rnacentral:rRNA from 1 species